rnacentral:rRNA from 1 species
ACGGGAGGCAGCAGUGGGGAAUAUUGCACAAUGGGGGAAACCCUGAUGCAGCGACGCCGCGUGAGUGAAGAAGUAUUUCGGUAUGUAAAGCUCUAUCAGCAGGGAAGAAAAUGACGGUACCUGACUAAGAAGCCCCGGCUAACUACGUGCCAGCAGCCGCGGUAAUACGUAGGGGGCAAGCGUUAUCCGGAUUUACUGGGUGUAAAGGGUGCGUAGGCGGCAUAGCAAGUCAGUCGUUAAAGACCAGAGCUUAACUCUGGGCCAGCGGUUGAAACUGCUAAGCUAGAGUACAGGAGAGGUAAGCGGAAUUACUAGUGUAGAGGUGAAAUUCGUAGAUAUUAGUAAGAACACCGAUGGCGAAGGCAGCUUACUGGCCUGAAACAGACGCUGAGGCACGAAAGUGUGGGGAGCAAACAGGAUUAGAUACCCUGGUA